GGAGAGCGCGGAAGAGGAGGAGCAGGAGCGGGGGGCAGUCUAUGAACUCUACCGCGCAGUUUGGCAACUCUAAACCAAAUGAAAUUCUCUUCAAUUCAAAAAGCAAGCCUGUGUGCCCUUCUUGCCUUCUGGAGUGCCCCUUAAGACCAGCAGGGCUGAGUGAGGGGUGUGAGGGGAAGUUCACUGAAGAAGAGAAAGGAAGGUUGGUAAGCUACAGUCUUGAAUUGUGAUUUGCUGCUGUUAAUUCCACUAAACUAAGGGAAUAGGUUUAAGUAGACAUCUUGACAUGCAUUUGAUGAUAAAAGUGUUAUGUAAAAAUAAACAACAAGAGUCAUUCUUAAUUUUUAAAAAGAAUCUUACAGGACUGAAGUUUUUUUAGACACCUAAAAGAGGCAGUAAGGACUUUGUCCUACUCUGGCAAUUUUGGAGCUCUUCUGAAAGAGAAAGGAAAUUUGAGUUCAUUCUGUUCUUUUAAUUGCUUUUUUUUUUUUUUUUUUAAGAAAUUGGCUUACCUAUUUGGUUAUUACAAUGUAAGCGACUAUGAAAACAUUAUACAGUUGAAAGUAUCCAGAAUACCCCUGUUUUGGCAGAUUUCAACUUCAUGAGGUUCAUGGUUAUUCUGA
rnacentral:lncRNA from 1 species